rnacentral:rRNA from 1 species
GACGUAGGGUGCGAGCGUUGUCCGGAUUUAUUGGGCGUAAAGAGCUCGUAGGCGGCUCGUCGCGUCGACCGUGAAAACCCGCAGCUUAACUGCGGGCUUGCGGUUGAUACGGGCGGGCUAGAGUUCGGUAGGGGAGACUGGAAUUCCUAGUGUAGCGGUGAAAUGCGCAGAUAUCAGGAGGAACACCGGUGGCGAAGGCGGGUCUCUGGGCCGAUACUGACGCUGAGGAGCGAAAGCGUGGGGAGCGAACAGG